AGAGACAGCAGUAGCCACGGUAAUACGUAGGGGGCAAGCGUUAUCCGGAAUAACUGGGCGUAAAGGGUGCGCAGGUGGUUUAACAAGUUAGUGGUGAAAGGCGUAGGCUCAACCAAUGUAAGCCAUUAAAACUGUUUAACUUGAGUGCAGGAGAGGAAAGUGGAAUUCCUAGUGUAGCGGUGAAAUGCGUAGAUAUUAGGAGGAAUACCAGUGGCGAAGGCGGCUUUUUGGCCUGUAACUGACACUGAGGCGCGAAAGCGUGGGGAGCAAACAGGAUUAGAUACCCCCGUAGUCCCUGUCUCUUAUACC
rnacentral:rRNA from 1 species